GGCCGGGCUGCUGGGGCGGUGGGCGCGCGCGGGCGGGCACGCGGGGCUGCCGUUGCCGGGCGACAUGAGCGAGAGUUUGGCUUCAGUGAACUGGUGUUUCUGAGCAAGAUGCAUUCAGCUGAGUCAUGCCUGACUGGUUCCACUACCCACAUACUGCAGUAUCUUUGCAUCUCAGAAGCUAGACAAGGAACCGGAGCUACAAAUGGAAAAGACAAAACAUCUGCUGAGAAUGGUAAGGACAGAUUAUAUUUCUUGCUGGGGAAUAUGGAUCUAAGUUGUUUUCCAUUAUCAAAAUAAUCU
rnacentral:lncRNA from 1 species